UCCCUACGGGACGCAGCUGUGAGGAAUAUUGGUCAAUGGACGAGAGCCUGAACCAGCCAAGUCGCGUGAAGGAUGACUGCCCUAUGGGUUGUAAACUUCUUUUAUAUGGGAAUAAAACAGGGUAUGCAUACCCUCUUGUAUGUACCAUAUGAAUAAGGAUCGGCUAACUCCGUGCCAGCAGCCGCGGUAAUACGGAGGAUCCGAGCGUUAUCCGGAUUUAUUGGGUUUAAAGGGUGCGCAGGCGGUCUGUUAAGUCAGCGGUCAAAGCCCGGGGCUCAACCCCGGCCCGCCGUUGA
rnacentral:rRNA from 1 species